rnacentral:rRNA from 1 species
AUUGAACGCUGGCGGCAGGCCUAACACAUGCAAGUCGAGCGAGCGGCGGACGGGUGAGUAAUGUCUGGGAAACUGCCUGAUGGAGGGCGAUAACUACUGGAAACGGUAGCUAAUACCGCAUACCAUCCGAUUUGCCCGGAUGGGAUUAGCUAGUCGGUGGGGGAAUGGCUCACCUAGGGGACGAUCCCUAGCUGGUCUGAGAGGAUGACCAGCCACACUGGAACUGAGACACGGUCCAGACUCCGACGGGAGGCAGCAGUGGGGAAUAUUGCACAAUGGGCGCAAGCCUGAUGGAGCAACGCCGCGUGAGUGAAGAAGGUCUUCGGAUUGUAAAGCACUGUCGGCGGGGAGGCGGUACCCGAAGAAAAAGCAACGGCUAACUCCGUGCCAGCAGCCGCGAUAAUAC